rnacentral:lncRNA from 1 species
CAAACUCCCUCGCGCGGCCUUUUGCGCCCGCCCUAUCGCGCGUGCGCCGGGAAGGAGGCGGCUGCGGCCGAAUUUGCGGCUUUUUUCUGAGUUUCUCUUGAGAAGUUUCUGGAAAGACGAAGCCUAAAGGAAGCUGGGGGAUGGGAAGAGCGGGGAAGCCGCAUUUGAGAGAAGAAAGCGAAAUAUCCAAAGCAGACGGCCAUCGCUCUGCCUCCCAACUCUCAAGCCACGGCCAAGGAGAGCCCGAGACCCUCACAUCCAGGGGAAAAGCAUGAGGACCGCACAGCUGCUGCUUCCUCUGGCCGUGACUAGAACCCUCGCCUCCGGGGCAGGGAAAGGGAAGGGGUGUCCGGGAACACCCGGAGCGGCCCGGGACGUUUGCGCGGUGGAGCGGGCGCCAGUGGCCCGGAGAUCUGGGCCCCGCCUGCAGUGGGCGUGGCUGCCGAGCUGCGGUUUAGGGGCGCCAGACUCCCGUUUUCCGUAGCCUCUCUUUGGUGGCUCUGUGUUUUCCCCUCCACCCGCCUCCACUUCGGUGGCGUGGAGCUAAUGCAGCGAGUGCGGAGAAGCCGCUCUACGUGGCCGCGGUGGGGCGGGGGCGCCGGCGCCUGGCUGCCAUUUUGUGGCUCGGCCGCCAUUUCGCGCCGCGCGGGUGGCGGGGCGCAGGCGCGGCACCUUUGUUCUUGGGACGCUGCCUGGCUGGGCGCGCGCUUCCCCGCGGCCUGGGAACCUGUACCAAAGAUCCCACGCCCUCCUCGCUCGUGGACAACAUAACGGCCCGGCCGCCGUGGGAAAAAGACGCCUUGCCGGGGAGGGUUAACGCAGCGUGGAAAGCCGCUCUCUGGAACCUCGGGCCUGAGGGAGGAGCAAAGCGUGGGCCCUUGUGGCGCUCUGUAAAGAGUAGGGCAGAGCAAGCAGCUGCGGGAGCCCUAAUAAAGGUGUUAAAGCCCUCGUAAUCGGGAGACCCGAUCGCUUUACAAAAGAAAAACACCCGAAGUAGCGCCUGAAGUGCUGCCAGGCGGUGGAGAACAGAGCUCACGUCUCAUUGGCUGGCUCGCUCGCUCUCUCUGCGCAAUUGCGUUCGGACGAGGGUAUGGCCCAUUAUUUACAUCUGAUCAGCAGCAGGAACAAUGGGUCGUGAAGUCUCUCGCUUUUCUUGAGAAUAUUUUCUGUUUAACUGCUUUUUCAAAUCCCUUAUGAGAGUCGCCCUGACCACCGCUGCCUUCCCUCUCAAGGCUACAGAUUCCACUUUCCCGACCAC